CCUGCACUCAGUUCACUCCCUGGCCCGGAUCCCAUGACUGCCUUGGCUCUAUGCUCAGCUUGAGCCUGAAUCAGGCGUGCUGUGAGUGGCUUCUGUAUAGGGCGCAGGCGUCUAGAAUAGGCGAAGGUUGGUGGUGCCCAAAACCUCAGAGAUGCCAGCAAUCGCGGAGCCCCAAGUGGUGUUACAGCUCUUGCUUGGGGAGUCCCAAGGUUUGGGCCCCAAGAAAAGUUGCAGCUCUUUACUCUCGUAGCUCAGCCAGUGGGAGCGUGUUAUAGCUGUCUUUCUCCUGUAGUCCGGUGAGCAGGAAUGUGUUAUAGCUCUUUCAUUCCAGCCGCCCACAGCUGAGUGAGUUCCAAGUUCUUGUCCUGUGACCAAGAGGAAUAAGGUGUGUGGACACUGGAGAGUAAGUAAGGCAGAGAAGAAUUUUAUUGAGCGACAGAAGGAAAGCCCUCAACUGUGAAAAGGGACCCUGAAAGUGGGUUGUCAUCUGUGAGGCUGAGUCUGGGCUUGUCUGGGUUUACAAUGGGAGAAUGUGUGCUGAUUGGUCCAUAGGUGUUCUUUGAAAAAAUCACCAUCCAAUUGGUUAAAAAGCAUCAUCCGGAAGGAACCAAUCAAGAGAGAGAAGACCCCAAGCUUCACUGGCAGAGGA
rnacentral:lncRNA from 1 species